AGGAGCUGUUGGCAAUCAUCUUAGACAGACAAGGGGAGGGGUUCCUGUGAUGGGAUCAGUCAGAUGCCUGCCUGGCCGCUCCCCGUGAGGGGACUUGGGCUCCUCUUAGCAUUGGCAGGCCGGUAUAAACUUCCGGCUCAGAUUGAGCUAUGCCUGAUGCUGCCUUAAGCCUUAUGAGGUCGCCAAGGAACCGCAGAAACUCCUGGAGGGCAGAGCUGUGUCUGCCAUCUUCAUCAUUGCAUUACCACCACCCAGCACAGUGCCUGGCACAAAAGAGUUGCUCAAUAAAUAAAUCAGGAUGAAUGAAUAAACACAUGGAUAGGCACUUUGAACUACAGAUGAGUUUAAAUACUUUGUGUUUUUCUUAGUCAAACAUGUGCAAUUAAGCAUGUGAUAAAUGAUAUGAUGACCACAUGUGUGUCUUGCCUGAUGUUCUUUGCAAUCACUAAAUGAAGUCAAUUGUGCCUGUUUUGACAGUUCUGUUUUCAACCUAAUGAUCUGUUUCUUUUAACUUCUGGCUGUUGGCUUUGUUUGGGUUUGUUAGCCUGACAAAGUGGCAGAUAUUGGUAUUUGCUCUUUUGUUUAAAUGUCUGUCAUGAACUUUAAAAAUGCCUUUGCUUUUGGUAAGAAACCCUAGUUAGGACAGUCUAGCAGUCAGGAUGAUUUGGGUUCUGGUGCAGUAACAACAAUCCCCAAAUCUCAGUGGAUCCAUGCAGUGAGGUAUUUGUUUGUGUGUUUGUUUUUUGAGACAGGGUCUCACUCUCUCACCCAGACUAGGGUGCAAUGGUGCAACCUCAGCUCACUGCAACCUAUGGCUCCCAGACUCAAGCAAUUCUCCUGCCUCCUGAGUAGCUGGGAUUACAGGCCUGUGCCACUACUGUCUCACUAAUUUUUGUACUUUAGUAGAGACAGGAUAUCACCAUGUUAGCCAGGCUGAUCUUGAACUCCUGACCUCAAAUGAUCCACCCGCCUUGGCCUCCCAAAGUGCUGGGAUGACAGGCAUGAGCCACCAUGCCUGGCCACAGUGAGGCUUAUUCUUGGUCACGUUGCAUGUCUGGGCUGUGUUAGGGCAUUGUGGGGUGGUCUGUUCAUUGUGUUCACUCAGGGAUCCAGGCUGA
rnacentral:lncRNA from 10 species